UACGAAGGGGGGCUAGCGUUGUUCGGAAUCACUGGGCGUAAAGCGCGCGUAGGCGGCUUUGUAAGUUAGAGGUGAAAGCCCGGAGCUCAACUCCGGAACUGCCUUUAAAACUGCAUCGCUUGAAUCCAGGAGAGGUGAGUGGAAUUCCGAGUGUAGAGGUGAAAAUUCGUAGAUAUUCGGAAGAACACCAGUGGCGAAGGCGGCUCACUGGACUGGUAUUGACGCUGAGGUGCGAAAGCGUGGGGAGCAAACAGG
rnacentral:rRNA from 1 species